rnacentral:lncRNA from 1 species
CCCUUCAAUGAAUAAGAAGUCAAUCCCUUCUCAAUAACGUCACCAUCCCUUCUCUCUUGUAAACAGCAAAUCAGAAUUAUUUUGUCAAGAACUGACAUUAAUGAAACAGUAAUCAAGCCAGCAUUAAUCAAAAAUAUUUUACUAUGUUUAAAAUGGAUCCAUUUUCCUGCUUACAGAGUUGCAUGGUUGGGAUCCGCAGACCUCCUCUCAAGGC